UACGUAGGGAGCGAGCGUUGUCCGGAAUUAUUGGGCGUAAAGAGCUCGUAGGCGGUCUGUCGCGUCGGCUGUGAAAACUCGGGGCUCAACUCCGAGCUUGCAGUCGAUACGGGCAGGCUAGAGUUCGGCAGGGGAGACUGGAAUUCCUGGUGUAGCGGUGAAAUGCGCAGAUAUCAGGAGGAACACCGGUGGCGAAGGCGGGUCUCUGGGCCGAUACUGACGCUGAGGAGCGAAAGCGUGGGGAGCGAACAGG
rnacentral:rRNA from 1 species